AGUGAACGCUGGCGGUAGGCCUAACACAUGCAAGUCGAGGGGCAUCACAUGAAGUAGCAAUACGGAUGGUGGCGACCGGCGCACGGGUGAGUAACACGUAUGCAACCUGCCUUCAACAAGGGGAUAACCCGUUGAAAGACGGACUAAUACCCUAUAACACAGGGGUCCCGCAUGGGAAUAUUUGUUAAAGGACAACCGGUUGAAGAUGGGCAUGCGUUCCAUUAGCUAGUUGGCGGGUAACGGCCCACCAAGGCAACGAUGGAUAGGGGAACUGAGAGGUUUAUCCCCCACACUGGUACUGAGACACGGACCAGACUCCUACGGGAGGCAGCAGUGAGGAAUAUUGGUCAAUGGACGCAAGUCUGAACCAGCCACGUCGCGUGAAGGAAGACGGCCCUACGGGUUGUAAACUCUUUGUAAGGGAAUAAAGUGUAGUACGCGUACUAUUUUGCAUGUACCUUACGAAUAAGGAUCGGC
rnacentral:rRNA from 1 species